AUCGUGCUCAACUCAAACAGUCCUGUGACUCCUCACUAGGACUACCCUGACCAAGGUUUUGCUAAAUUGAAACAUGACUGUACACAGCUCCUGAACUGGAGUGGUCAAUCCCAUCUUGACACAUGCCCCAACAAGUCAAGUACUAGACUACACCCAGUAGCCUUCCAUCACUGAAUUAGAAAUUCAGGUAGUCCAGUGCCUAAGCACAGUGAGUUGCUUGCAAGUCACCAUGGCGGUCUC
rnacentral:lncRNA from 1 species